rnacentral:lncRNA from 10 species
AUUUACUCCUUUUCUGAUGUGGUGGGAGAUGGGGGCUGAUAAGGAAACCUGCCAUGGGAAUGCGAAAACCUCCACCUUGCCGUCAGUUCAUCUGGUGGUAUAUCCCUGAGGCUUCCAUUUCUCUUGGGUUAUCUUUGCAAGGUGGUUAUGCCAGAGGAUCACAGGUGAGCAGUGUCAACUCUCACCUUUCCUAUAAGAGCCCCAGAGGAAAGGUGAAUUUGGAUGACAAGAGCCAGGGCUCUGAGGUCCUUCUCAAGUGGAGAGCUCCUCUCCAGGGACAGCCUGGGAGAUGAGGGUGGAAUUGUAUUAGUGAACAGCAGCAUUUCUCAGAAGUUCCUGGGUGUAUGGGAGGGGACAUCCACACACAGAGUUCCCAUCUCCCAGAAUAAUAUUACUACUGGAGAUGUGUGGCCUCUAACAUUCAGACCCAGCAGCCACCACUCCUAAAGCCAGCAUCACCCUCUGUAGCUCACUCCAGACCUCAUCUGGAACAGCCUCUGUUCUUCAAGGAAACCAGGAAGGAAUUUUCCACUUUACACAGCCCCAGAUCAAUACCAAACAAGCAUGUGUUAGAGGGAAGUUUAUAAAUAAAAAACAGGACCAAGUGCCGAGGAAAGGUCAACCAACCAUGACGUGGCAGGAAGUGGUCUGCGUCACUAUGGGGUGCUGAUGGGUGUGGGGGGCCCUGGGGACUGAGGCUCCCUGAGCACAUUCCAUAUUUUGGCAGGCCAGCUCCUCAUGGCAUCCCACGGUUUGCCAAGCACUUUUCACAUGUAUAUCUUCAUCUUGCUUGGUCCUCCGGGGAAAGACCACACCUUCCCGGUCCCUUUAUUUAAUGUGACUGGGUCUUUCCCAGGGCCUCUCUCAUGAGCCGACUCAGGGUAUUUGAGGGGAGAUACCAAAGGUAGUGGGUUUUGUGGCUGACUCAGUCAUUAUGGGAAGGUGAAUGUAAAGGUAACCCAGCGACUCAGCACCUGUAUUUCACCUCUCUGGUCCAAUCUCCGCUCGCAGCCCUACCUCCAGGUCAGUCCCUGGGGAUUCCCAGGGGGGUCUCUAAUUCCCUCAAGCCAGGGUCUUGGAAAGGAGUGAUGAGGGUUUACAGCUAAUUCAUAGUAUUAAAAAACUUUGUGAAUCAUUAAAUUAUAAAUUGGCCUGUGAUGAAGGCACACUGGCUCCUUGGAAACUGACUUCACUUUGCUUGGAGUAGAAUUCUGGAGCCCACCCCCAAGGGCUAGGGAUAGGACCCCAUUGACCUCAUAUUUGCGCCAAGCCCAGCUGGAGAAACGGGAGAGAAUUGAGGGUGGCCUUCAGCGUUCCCAUAAACUACCUUUUUGUCCCUUAGCCGUUGAACUCUUAAACCUCCUUUCUUAUACAAAUUUGGACUUGAGACCAUGAGCGGAGCUGUUACCUGCCAACCUGCCUACAUGUCAGCGGUGAUGCCAGGCUACUUCAAUUAUUUGUAUUCUUGCUGCAUUGCAUCCCUAUUAUUUCAUUAGGAAUUAGUAGAACUUUAAAAAGUUUCUUUGCAUCUCGAUUUCUCUCUCCAACAUGAGAGUCGUUAUUCCUCAUGGAGGAUUCGCUAGUUUAAUUAAAACAGGCUGUUUCUCCUAUUGCACCCAAGAGGAAAAUGGGCAUUACUGAUCUGUUCCGCACUCUGUCCCCUCACUCGCUGCCGUUCUCUUCUCUGGGCUGGUCUCUGAAGGCUGCCUGCAGUGCUGGAGUGGGCAGGGUGGCUGCGGGCUGGCUGAGGACGCUUCGUCCUUCCUUCUGCGGAGUGCAUGUGAGACCAGGCCACGCCAGGAAACCCCCUGAGGGCAGUGGGCACCACCUCUGGCCACUUGACUAACCCCGGGGCAGUAAGAUCUGGACCGCAAAGGGUGAGUGGUCACUGGCUCGUGGUUUGGUGAGGAUUUGGGGAAUACACCCACCCCAUUCAGAUUUGAGGGCAUCUCAGCACCCUUCCCCCUUCCUUCCCAGCCAUUUCCCUCUGCAGGAUGGAGGCAAUGGGAAGGCAAUGGGAAGGCAAUAGGGAGGCAUAGCUUAAUGGGCACAGAAUUUCAGCUUGAGAGGAUGAAACAAUUCUGGAAUGGAUGGUGGUGAUGGCCGCACAACAGUGUGAAUGUACUUAAUGCCACUUAAAAAUUGUUAAAAUGGUGAAUUUUAUGUUCAUAUAGUUUACCGAAAUAAAAAUUUUAAAAAGCAAAUGUUAAAUAAAGAGUGGACCAAUGUCAAGUCGAGGCCUCCAUAGGAUGCUAAACAAAUGUGUAAUGUGAGGUCACCUUGGAACAUAAACUCUUCAAAGACAGGAGUGGGUUCCUUAGCACCUGAAAGUCCAUCCCACACUGGGUACCACCCAUCGCCUGUGAACGAGGGCACAGCACCUCCUAACCCACCCUGCUCCCCAUGCCAUCCUAAGACCACAGGCCUCCUGACACCCUCUGGCUCCCUCUCUCGCCCCUGCCGGCUGGCUCUCAGGGCUGACUCCCUUCCAGCCCCCACUGACUGCUUACUAAGUCUCAGUGUCAACAACCCACAGCUUCAGAAGGUUGAGCUAUGCCUAAUUCCCUCAGGCCAGGGUCUUGGAAAAAAGUGAUGAGGGUUUACAGCUAAUUUUUAGUAUUAAAAACCUUUAAUCAUUAAGUUAUAAAUUGGCCUGUGACAAGGGCACAUUGGCUCAUUGGAAACUGACUUUGCCUUGCUUGGACUAUAAUUCUAUCAUCUGUGUGCUAAUUGCGUCUCUCACAGGCUGCUCAGAAUUCUGGUUGACAUGUGUCUAAAAGAGAGAGAAAAGGAAUUCCUGCUUGCUUUAGUUUGACAGAUAAAGCCUCUCAAACAUGGAAGGGUGACCAAGAGGCAGUCAUGGCCACUCCCGUGGGUCCCCACUGGUCUAGGUGACUUUUAACUUGCUUCUGGAAGCAAAGUGCUAAGGCUGUGUUUGCAGCUCUUUGUCUGCACUGACAGAGUGAGAGAGACGCAGACACAGCAAAUGACCCCUGAGCAUGGGGCCCUGAAGACACUGGACAGGCGUGGACAAAUACUGCUAUCCUUGCCAACCCUCUCCUGGUGCUAGACUGCCCUCCUGUGGUCCCCCGACAGCACAGGCUCCCAUCUCAGACUCUAUGGGUGCCACAUCAUGGGCAAACUUCCGGGCAUGUCCACUGCCAUUUCUAAAACCCUCCAUGUCCUGUUCUCAAGGGGCCCAAGUGCUGUAUCCAUCCAGGCCUCAGUGAGUGGGCAUGUGUCAAUAAGCCCAUAGGCUAAAGAGGGCCUUCUGCAGAAGCCGUGUGUUUCCCUGAAGAAGCAGCUCUGAUCGAAGCAAACAAAUGACAACAAACACAACAGAUCCUCUCACUAGUACGCAACUGCCAGCUUCAGAGCAGACGGCCCCGAUGAAACGUGUCCUCCUCCAGCUGUGAGCCACCACGCAAUGAUAGACCCUCCAUCAGUGCGUGACAAACCUCGUGUCCUCCCACCCGCUCACCUGCGGUGCGGUAGCAAGGUGUGUGCUGCAGC